rnacentral:rRNA from 1 species
UACAGAGGGUGCAAGCGUUAAUCGGAAUUACUGGGCGUAAAGCGUGCGUAGACGGUUGCGUAAGUCAGAUGUGAAAAGCCCCCGGGCUCAACCUGGGAAUUGCAUUUUGAGACUGCGUAGCUAGGGUGCGGAAGAGGGAAGCGGAAUUUCCGGUGUAGCGGUGAAAUGCGUAGAUAUCGGAAGGAACACCAGUGGCGAAAGCGGCUUCCUGGUCCAGCACCGACGUUCAGGCACGAAAGCGUGGGGAGCAAACAGG